AACGGAACCUUAGGGUUUAGUGGCGGACGGGUGAGUAACGCGUGAGAAUCUACCUCCAGGUCUGGGACAACAGUUGGAAACGACUGCUAAUACCGGAUGUGCCGAAAGGUGAAAGACCUGUUACCUGGAGAAGAGCUCGCGUCAGAUUAGCUAGUAGGUGGUGUAAAGGACCACCUAGGCGACGAUCUGUAGCUGGUCUGAGAGGACGAUCAGCCACACUGGAACUGAGACACGGUCCAGACUCCUACGGGAGGCAGCAGUGGGGAAUUUUCCGCAAUGGGCGAAAGCCUGACGGAGCAAUACCGCGUGAGGGAGGAAGGCUCUUGGGUUGUAAACCUCUUUUCUCAGGGAAGAUAAUGACGGUACCUGAGGAAUAAGCAUCGGCUAACUCCGUGCCAGCAGCCGCGGUAAUACGGAGGAUGCAAGCGUUAUCCGGAAUGAUUGGGCGUAAAGCGUCCGCAGGUGGUUAUGUAAGUCUGCUGUUAAAGCGUCAGGCUCAACCUGAUAAGGGCAGUGGAAACUAUGUGACUAGAGUGCGUUAGGGGCAGAGGGAAUUCCCAGUGUAGCGGUGAAAUGCGUAGAGAUUGGGAAGAACACCGGUGGCGAAGGCGCUCUGCUAUACCGUAACUGACACUGAGGGACGAAAGCCAGGGGAGCGAAUGGGAUUAGAUACCCCAGUAGUCCUAGCCGUAAACGAUGGAUACUAGGCGUUGUCUGUAUCGACCCGAGCCGUGCCGAAGC
rnacentral:rRNA from 1 species